rnacentral:rRNA from 1 species
ACGGGCGGUGUGUGCAAGGAGCAGGGACGUAUUCACCGCGCGGUAAUGACACGCAGUUACUAGGGAUUCCAUAUUCAUGAGGGCGAGUUGCAGCCCUCAAUCAUAACUGUGAUAGCGUUUGAAGAUUGCCUCCACCUUUCGGUUUAGGAACUCAUUGUCACUAUCAUUGCAGCCCGCGUGUGGCCCCAAGGUUUCAGGGCAUACUGACCUGCCGUGGCCCCUUCCUUCCUCCACAUUAACUGUGGCGGUCCCGCUAAUUCGCCCCACUACUCCUGAGAGUAAUGGUGGCAACUAGAGGCAGGGAUCUCGCUCGUUACCUGACUUAACAGGACAUCUCACGGCACGAGCUGGCGACGGCCAUGCACCACUUCUCAGCUUGUCUGGUAAAGUCUCCAGCUUGACCUUCAUUCUGCUGUCUCCUCGGGUAAGAUUUCUGGCGUUGACUCCAAUUGAACCGCAGGCUUCACCCCUUGUGGUGCUCCCCCGCCAAUUCCUUUAAGUUUCAUACUUGCGUACGUACUUCCCAGGCGGCAAACUUAACGGCUUCCCUGCGGCACUGCACUGGCCACAAGCCAGGGCAUCACCGAGUCUGCAUCGUUUACAGCUGGGACUACCCGGGUAUCUAAUCCGGUUUGCUCCCCCAGCUUUCAUCCCUCACCGUCGGACGUGUUCUGGUAGACCGCCUUCGCCACAGGUGGUCAUCAAUAGAUCAAAGGAUUUUACCCCUUCCUACCGAGUACCGUCUACCUCUCCCACUCCCUAGCUUUGUAGUAUUUCCGGCAGCCCAUACGUUAAGCGUAUGGAUUUAACCGAAAAC